rnacentral:rRNA from 1 species
GACGAACGCUGGCGGCGUGCUUAACACAUGCAAGUCGAGCGGAAAGGCCCUGCUUUUGUGGGGUGCUCGAGUGGCGAACGGGUGAGUAACACGUGAGUAACCUGCCCUUGACUUUGGGAUAACUUCAGGAAACUGGGGCUAAUACCGGAUAGGAGCUCCUGCUGCAUGGUGGGGGUUGGAAAGUUUCGGCGGUUGGGGAUGUACUCGCGGCUUAUCAGCUUGUUGGUGGGGUAGUGGCUUACCAAGGCUUUGACGGGUAGCCGGCCUGAGAGGGUGACCGGCCACAUGGGGACUGAGAUACGGCCCAGACUCCUACGGGAGGCAGCAGGGGGGAAUAUUGCACAAUGGGCGGAAGCCUGAUGCAGCAACGCCGCGUGCGGGAUGACGGCCUUCGGGUUGUAAACCGCUUUCGCCUGUGACGAAGCGUGAGUGACGGUAAUGGGUAAAGAAGCACCGGCUAACUACGUG